ensembl:snRNA U6 U6 spliceosomal RNA
UUGUUUCUUUUGGCAGCACAUAUAUUAAAAUUGGAACAAUACAGAGAAGAUUACAUGACCUCUGUGCAAGGAUGAUGCACAAAUUCAUGAAGUGUUUCAUACUAUA